CCUACGGGAGGCAGCAGUGGGGAAUAUUGCACAACGGGCGCAAGCCUGAUGCAGCCAUGCCGCGUGUAUAAAGAAGGCCUUAGGGUUGUAAAGUACUUUCAGUUGGGAGGAAGGCGUUGAUGCUAAUAUCAUCAACGAUUGACGUUACCAACAGAAGAAGCACCGGCUAACUCCGUGCCAGCAGCCGCGGUAAUACGGAGGGUGCAAGCGUUAAUCGGAAUUACUGGGCGUAAAGCGCACGCAGGCGGUUGAUUAAGUUAGAUGUGAAAUCCCCGGGCUUAACCUGGGAAUGGCAUCUAAGACUGGUCAGCUAGGGUCUUGUAGAGGGGGGUAGAAUUCCAUGUGUAGCGGUGAAAUGCGUAGAGAUGUGGAGGAAUACCGGUGGCGAAGGCGGCCCCCUGGACAAAGACUGACGCUCAGGUGCGAAAGCGUGGGGAGCAAACAGGAUUAGAUACCCUCGUAGUC
rnacentral:rRNA from 1 species